AUCCUUUGAGGUUCCUAAGCACGCUGAUUGGGUUUUCAUUCUAUUGUGAGGUGUGCUUCCUCCCGACGCCCCGAUGCCCCGUUACAAUCCUGAACAUUACUCGGCUGAUG